UGGGGAAUAUUGCACAAUGGGGGAAACCCUGAUGCAGCGACGCCGCGUGAACGAAGAAGGUAUUCGUAUCGUAAAGUUCUGUCCUAUGGGAAGAUAAUGACAGUACCAUAGAAGAAAGCUCCGGCUAAAUACGUGCCAGCAGCCGCGGUAAUACGUAUGGAGCGAGCGUUGUCCGUCAUUAUUGGGCGUAAAGGGUACGCAGGCGGUUUAAUAAGUCGAAUGUUAAAGAUCGGGGCUCAACCCCGCAAAGCAUUGGAAACUGAUAAACUUGAGUAGUGGAGAGGAAAGUGGAAUUCCUAGUGUAGUGGUGAAAUACGUAGAUAUUAGGAGGAAUACCAGUAGCGAAGGCGACUUUCUGGACACAAACUGACGCUGAGGUACGAAAGCGUGGGGAGCAAACAGG
rnacentral:rRNA from 1 species